GAGUUUGAUCAUGGCUCAGGACGAACGCUGGCGGCGUGCCUAAUACAUGCAAGUAGAACGCUGAAGAGAGGAGCUUGCUCUUCUUGGAUGAGUUGCGAACGGGUGAGUAACGCGUAGGUAACCUGCCUUGUAGCGGGGGAUAACUAUUGGAAACGAUAGCUAAUACCGCAUAACAAUAGGUGACACAUGUCAUUUAUUUGAAAGGGGCAAUUGCUCCACUACAAGAUGGACCUGCGUUGUAUUAGCUAGUAGGUGAGGUAACGGCUCACCUAGGCGACGAUACAUAGCCGACCUGAGAGGGUGAUCGGCCACACUGGGACUGAGACACGGCCCAGACUCCUACGGGAGGCAGCAGUAGGGAAUCUUCGGCAAUGGGGGCAACCCUGACCGAGCAACGCCGCGUGAGUGAAGAAGGUUUUCGGAUCGUAAAGCUCUGUUGUAAGUCAAGAACGAGUGUGAGAGUGGAAAGUUCACACUGUGACGGUAGCUUACCAGAAAGGGACGGCUAACUACGUGCCAGCAGCCGCGGUAAUACGUAGGUCCCGAGCGUUGUCCGGAUUUAUUGGGCGUAAAGCGAGCGCAGGCGGUUUGAUAAGUCUGAAGUUAAAGGCUGUGGCUCAACCAUAGUUCGCUUUGGAAACUGUCAAACUUGAGUGCAGAAGGGGAGAGUGGAAUUCCAUGUGUAGCGGUGAAAUGCGUAGAUAUAUGGAGGAACACCGGUGGCGAAAGCGGCUCUCUGGUCUGUAACUGACGCUGAGGCUCGAAAGCGUGGGGAGCGAACAGGAUUAGAUACCCUGGUAGUCCACGCCGUAAACGAUGAGUGCUAGGUGUUGGAUCCUUUCCGGGAUUCAGUGCCGCAGCUAACGCAUUAAGCACUCCGCCUGGGGAGUACGACCGCAAGGUUGAAACUCAAAGGAAUUGACGGGGGCCCGCACAAGCGGUGGAGCAUGUGGUUUAAUUCGAAGCAACGCGAAGAACCUUACCAGGUCUUGACAUCCCGAUGCUAUUUCUAGAGAUAGAAAGUUACUUCGGUACAUCGGUGACAGGUGGUGCAUGGUUGUCGUCAGCUCGUGUCGUGAGAUGUUGGGUUAAGUCCCGCAACGAGCGCAACCCCUAUUGUUAGUUGCCAUCAUUCAGUUGGGCACUCUAGCGAGACUGCCGGUAAUAAACCGGAGGAAGGUGGGGAUGACGUCAAAUCAUCAUGCCCCUUAUGACCUGGGCUACACACGUGCUACAAUGGUUGGUACAACGAGUUGCGAGUCGGUGACGGCAAGCUAAUCUCUUAAAGCCAAUCUCAGUUCGGAUCGUAGGCUGCAACUCGCCUACAUGAAGUCGGAAUCGCUAGUAAUCGCGGAUCAGCACGCCGCGGUGAAUACGUUCCCGGGCCUUGUACACACCGCCCGUC
rnacentral:rRNA from 1 species